rnacentral:rRNA from 1 species
GACGUAGGGGCGCGAGCGUUGUCCGGAUUUAUUGGGCGUAAAGAGCUCGUAGGCGGCUUGUCGCGUCGACUGUGAAAACCCGUGGCUCAACCAUGUGGUCUGCAGUCGAUACGGGCAGGCUAGAAUUCGGUAGGGGAGACUGGAAUUCCUGGUGUAGCGGUGAAAUGCGCAGAUAUCAGGAGGAACACCGGUGGCGAAGGCGGGUCUCUGGGGCCGAUAUUGACGCUGAGGAGCGAAAGCGUGGGGAGCGAACAGG